rnacentral:rRNA from 1 species
UACGUAGGGCGCAAGCGUUGUCCGGAAUUACUGGGCGUAAAGGGCUCGUAGGCGGCCAACUAAGUCCGACGUGAAAUCCCAAAGCUUAACUUUGGAACUGCGUCGGAUACUGGAUGGCUUGAAUUCGGGAGAGGGAUGCAGAAUUCCAGGUGUAGCGGUGAAAUGCGUAGAUAUCGUGGAGGAAUACCGGUGGCGAAGGCGGCAUCCUGGGACCGACAUUGACGCUGAGGAGCGAAAGCUAGGGGAGCAAACGGG